rnacentral:rRNA from 1 species
CGGUAAUACAGAGGUCUCAACCGUUGUUCGGAUUCAUUGGGCGUAAAGGGUGCGUAGGCGGUCGUGUAAGUCGGAUGUGAAAUCCCGGGGCUCAACCCCGGAACUGCAUUCGAUACUGCAUGGCUAGGGUACUGGAGAGGAGACUGGAAUUUACGGUGUAGCAGUGAAAUGCGUAGAUAUCGUAAGGAAGACCAGUGGCGAAGGCGAGUCUCUGGACAGUUACCGACGCUGAGGCACGAAGGCCAGGGGAGCAAACGGGAUUAGAUACCCCGGUAGUCCUGGCAGUAAACGGUGCACGUUUGGUGUAGGAGGAUUCGACCCCUUCUGUGCCGGAGCUAACGCGUUAAACGUGCCGCCUGGGAAGUACGGUCGCAAGAUUAAAACUCAAAGAAAUUGACGGGGGCCCGCACAAGCGGUGGAGUAUGUGGCUUAAUUCGAUGCAACGCGAAGAACCUUACCAGGGUUUGACAUGUAUUGUGUCGGCGAUGAAAGUCGCCUAGCUAUAGCAAUAUAGCGCUUUACACAGGUGCUGCAUGGCUGCCGUCAGCUCGUGUCGUGAGAUGUUGGGUUAAGUCCCGCAACGAGCGCAACCCCUGUGUCCUGUUGCCAACCCUUCGGGG